GUAUUAUAUAAAAGAGUAGGUUAGCAUUACCUUCACUGAGAUUGGAAGAAAGGUUAGUAACUUUUAAUACACACACUUGUGGGUAAGAAUUGCCACCAACUCUGUGGCAUUUAACUAAGUUUUCUU